AGUGAACGCUGGCGGUAGGCCUAACACAUGCAAGUCGAACGGCAGCACAGUAAGAGCUUGCUCUUACGGGUGGCGAGUGGCGGACGGGUGAGGAAUACAUCGGAAUCUACUUUUUCGGGGGGGAUAACGUAGGGAAACUUACGCUAAUACCGCAUACGACCUACGGGGGAAAGCAGGGGAUCUUCGGACCUUGCGCGAUUGAAUGAGCCGAUGUCGGAUUAGCUAGUUGGCGGGGUAAAGGCCCACCAAGGCGACGAUCCGUAGCUGGUGUGAGAGGAUGGUCGGCGACAUUGGAACUGGACCACGGUCAAGACUCCUACGGGAGGCAGCAGUGGGGAAUAUUGGACAAUGGGCGCAAGCCUGAUCCAGCCAUACCGAGUGGGUGAAGAAGGCCUUCGGGUUGUAAAGCCCUUUUGUUGGGAAAGAAAAGCAGCAGGUUAAUACCCCGCUGUUCUGACGGUAACCAGUGAAUAAGCACCGGCUAACUUCGUG
rnacentral:rRNA from 1 species